rnacentral:sRNA from 1 species
UUCCUUUUAGAAAAAUUGGGACAGGGAAUACAUUGUGUGUCUGUGAAAAAGUUUCCUUUGUUCUUUUGGGCAUUUUCUAUUUUGAGUAAUGGAGUAGGAGUACGGAAAGGCUGCAGUUAGUUCACUCGAUUAAAAGACACUGCCUCUGAGUCAGAGCUGCCAGGUCGGCAGCUUCACUCCCGAGGGUGCCGCGAGCCCAGGCGGCGAACACCCGGUACCCCUGGCGCAGAGAGGUGGGAUGCUGUACGGACAGCAGCGCUAAGUGCCCCCCACCCCCGGCGCGGGGUGCACUCGCUCCUGGCCGCGGGCCCAGCGGCGGCGGCGGCGGAGGGGAUGAGCCCGGGACGCGCGAGGCGCCUGCCUCAAGCUACCGCCCGGAGAGGGACGCCGAGUAGGGCUCAUCGCAGUACCGCGCGGACCCCUGCCCCCCGUGGCACGCGGCUGCGGAGCCUUGAAGCCGCGUCUGUGAUCAGGAUGCACUGGGCGCCUCGCAGCUGGUGAGGAUGCCCUGCUGCGCGGCCCUGCGCCCCCAGCCCCAGUCCCAGGUGGGCAAGACUGACUGGGCCCGGCUUCGGCCCCUCGUGCCGGUGGAUGAAACGU